rnacentral:rRNA from 1 species
UGGGGAAUAUUGCACAAUGGGCGCAAGCCUGAUGCAGCCAUGCCGCGUGUGUGAAGAAGGCCUUCGGGUUGUAAAGAACUUUCAGCGGGGAGGAAGGCGUUAAGGUUAAUAACCUUGGCGAUUGACGUUACCCGCAGAAGAAGCACCGGCUAACUCCGUGCCAGCAGCCGCGGUAAUACGGAGGGUGCAAGCGUUAAUCGGAAUUACUGGGCGUAAAGCGCACGCAUGCGGUUUGUUAAGUCAGAUGUGAAAUCCCCGGGCUCAACCUGGGAACUGCAUCUGAUACUGGCAAGCUGGAGUCUCGUAGAGGGGGGUAGAAUUCCAGGUGUAGCGGUGAAAUGCGUAGCGAUCUGGAGGAAUACCGGUGGCGAAGGCGGCCCCCUGGACGAAGACUGACGCUCAGGUGCGAAAGCGUGGGGAGCAAACAGG